rnacentral:sRNA from 1 species
GAAGUGGGAGGAGUGAGAGGUGGGGAAGGGGGACGCCAAAGAUGACUUUCAGGCUCCGGAAACCUACGUCUUUCAGCCUCCGCUGUUUUUGAGUUGCAAAUGAUCAGAGACGGGUGAACUGCAGGCAGCCUGUGUUGCUGCCUGGAAGUAGAUUUCCAUCUUUCAGACACUAGUUCCAAUGGGCCGGGUGUUCUGGAAGGGGGUGGCAGUGGGGAGGAGGAUGCUGUGAGCAGAGUUCUUGAAGCUCCACUCCUCUGGGGAAGCCGAGCUGUGUGGGAGCCUUCUUACUGUGCUGGGAGCGUGUGAAUUGGAAAGAUCCUGAGAGCUGGCUAGUCCCAGUUCCUCUCCGGAAAAGCAGUGGCUCUCGCUUCAGAGAUGCGCCCAGCUUUCGCCUGCAUCACACUGCAUUCUUUAACACAUUAUUGAAAUUACAAGCACCCAAAGCAGUUUCAUGUGGACAGAUUGCAUAUUUUGAAAGCCUGAGGUAUUUUAUCAUGAAACAUGCCAUGUGGAAUCUUUGAAGCAUAGACCUCUGCGCAACACCUGAAUAAAGAAUCUUUUACCUGGUAUGUGACAGAGCUUCUCACCACCACCAUGACAAACCAGGAAAAAUGGGCCCACCUCAGCCCUUCGGAAUUUUCCCAACUUCAGAAAUAUGCUGAGUAUUCUACAAAGAAAUUAAAGGAUGUUCUUGAAGAAUUCCAUGGUAAUGGUGUGCUUGCAAAGUAUAAUCCUGAAGGGACAAUAGAUUUUGAAGGUUUCAAACUAUUCAUGAAGACAUUCCUGGAAGCCGAGCUUCCUGAUGAUUUCACUGCACACCUUUUCAUGUCAUUUAGCAACAAGUUUCCUCAUUCUAGUCCAAUGGUAAAAAGUAAGCCUGCUCUCCUAUCAGGCGGUCUGAGAAUGAAUAAAGGUGCCAUCACCCCUCCCCGGACUACUUCUCCUGCAAACACGUGUUCCCCAGAAGUAAUCCACCUGAAGGACAUUGUCUGUUACCUGUCUCUGCUUGAAAGAGGAAGACCUGAGGAUAAGCUUGAGUUUAUGUUUCGCCUUUAUGACACGGAUGGGAAUGGCUUCCUGGACAGCUCGGAGCUGGAAAAUAUCAUCGGUCAGAUGAUGCAUGUUGCAGAAUACCUUGAGUGGGAUGUCACUGAACUUAAUCCAAUCCUCCAUGAAAUGAUGGAAGAAAUUGACUAUGAUCAUGAUGGAACCGUGUCUCUGGAGGAAUGGAUUCAAGGAGGAAUGACAACGAUUCCACUUCUUGUGCUCCUGGGCUUAGAAAAUAACGUGAAGGAUGAUGGACAGCACGUGUGGCGACUGAAGCACUUUAACAAACCUGCCUAUUGCAACCUUUGCCUGAACAUGCUGAUUGGCGUGGGGAAGCAGGGCCUCUGCUGUUCCUUCUGCAAGUACACAGUCCAUGAGCGCUGUGUGGCUCGAGCACCUCCCUCUUGCAUCAAGACCUAUGUGAAGUCCAAAAGGAACACUGAUGUCAUGCACCAUUACUGGGUUGAAGGUAACUGCCCAACCAAGUGUGAUAAGUGCCACAAAACAGUUAAAUGUUACCAGGGCCUGACAGGACUGCAUUGUGUUUGGUGUCAGAUCACACUGCAUAAUAAAUGUGCUUCUCAUCUAAAACCUGAAUGUGACUGUGGACCUUUGAAGGACCAUAUUUUACCACCCACAACAAUCUGUCCGGUGGUACUGACUCUGCCCACUUCAGGAGUUUCAGUUCCUGAGGAAAGACAAUCAACAGUGAAAAAGGAAAAGAGUGGUUCCCAGCAGCCAAACAAAUUGAUCGACAAGAAUAAAAUGCAAAGAGCCAACUCUGUUACUGUAGAUGGACAAGGCCUGCAGAUCACUCCUGUGCCUGGUACUCACCCACUUUUAGUUUUUGUGAACCCCAAAAGUGGUGGAAAACAAGGAGAACGAAUUUACAGAAAAUUCCAGUAUCUACUAAAUCCUCGUCAGGUUUACAGUCUUUCUGGAAAUGGACCAAUGCCAGGGUUAAACUUUUUCCGUGAUGUUCCUGACUUCAGAGUGUUAGCCUGUGGUGGAGAUGGAACCGUGGGCUGGGUUUUGGAUUGCAUAGAAAAGGCCAAUGUAGGCAAGCAUCCUCCAGUUGCAAUUCUGCCUCUUGGGACUGGCAAUGAUCUAGCAAGAUGCCUGCGAUGGGGAGGAGGUUAUGAAGGUGAGAAUCUGAUGAAAAUUCUAAAAGACAUUGAAAACAGCACAGAAAUCAUGUUGGACAGGUGGAAGUUUGAAGUCAUACCUAAUGACAAAGAUGAGAAGGGAGACCCAGUGCCUUACAGUAUCAUCAAUAAUUACUUUUCCAUUGGCGUGGAUGCCUCCAUUGCACACAGAUUCCACAUCAUGAGAGAAAAACACCCAGAGAAAUUCAACAGUAGAAUGAAGAACAAAUUUUGGUAUUUUGAGUUUGGCACAUCUGAAACUUUCUCAGCCACCUGCAAGAAGCUACAUGAAUCUGUAGAAAUAGAAUGUGAUGGAGUACAGAUAGAUUUAAUAAACAUCUCUCUGGAAGGAAUUGCUAUUUUGAAUAUACCAAGCAUGCAUGGAGGAUCCAAUCUUUGGGGAGAGUCUAAGAAAAGACGAAGCCAUCGACGAAUAGAGAAAAAAGGGUCUGACAAAAGGACCACCGUCACAGAUGCCAAAGAGUUGAAGUUUGCAAGUCAAGGAGUGGAGCUCUGUGCAGCUGAAGACUGCAUAUGACCUCCUGAAUACAGGAUAAAAAAGCCUUUGGAAGGAGACAAGAUCAUUACUCCAGAGAAUAGCCUUGUGCAGUUGCUGUCCUACUGAAGUAGAGAAAGGGCAUCCAAAUGUUUUGAUCUUGUUUUUAUAGUUGCAAGCAGUGUCUGUAUCUUUCCAAAUACCCAAUUUUGUCGUAUAUAUCUCUCUAUGAAAAGGAAUUUCAAUGCUACUUAAUUUUGGUUUAGGGGGAGAUGGAACUGACUUUAAUUAUUCGUUUGAAGCAAAUAAAUGUUUAAACGUGAGAUACAAUUUAAAAAUUGAUGAAUGGUGAUGGUUUUUUAAAUUUGUUUGACUUUUUUUCCUAUCAGUAGUAAUAGUUACUCAGGCUUAUACUCAUGUCCUCAAUAUAUAAGGACUGCUUGUUUCCCACUCAGCGUCUAGUUAUAAUUGUAUUCUGUUUGAG